rnacentral:rRNA from 1 species
AAAUCCUACGGGGGGCAGCAGUAGGGAACUUUCGUCAAUGGGCGCAAGCCUGAACGAGCAAUGCCGCGUGAACGAGGAAGGUCUUCGGAUCGUAAAGUUCUGUUGAAGGGGAAAAAGAGCGGAGAGAGGAAAUGGUCUCCGAUUGAUAUUACCCUUCGAGGAAGUCACGGCUAACUACGUGCCAGCAGCCGCGGUAAUACGUAGGGUGCGAGCGUUAAUCGGAAUUACUGGGUGUAGGGGGUGCGCAGGCGGUUGAGUAAGACAGAUGUGAAAUCCCCGAGCUUAA